AGGUAGCGCCUCGUGAACUCAUCUUCGGGGGCAGAGCACUGUUUCGGCUAGGGGGUCAUCCCUACUUACCAACCCGAUGCAAACAACGAAUACCGAAGCAUGUUAUCAAGGGAGACACACGGCGGCUGCAGACGCCCGGCGUGAAGAGGGAAACAACCCAGACCGCCAGCUAAGGUCCCAAAGUCAUGGUUAAGUGGGAAACGAUGUGGGAAGGCACAGACAGCCAGGAUGUUGGCUUAGAAGCAGCCAUCAUUUAAAGAAAGCGUAAUAGCUCACUGGUCGAGUCGGCCUGCGCGGAAGAUGUAACGGGGCUAAACCAUGCACCGAAGCUGCGGCAGCGACACUAUGUGUUGUUGGGUAGGGGAGCGUUCUGUAAGCCUGCGAAGGUGUGCUGUGAGGCAUGCUGGAGGUAUCAGAAGUGCGAAUGCUGACAUAAGUAACGAUAAAGCGGGUGAAAAGCCCGCUCGCCGGAAGACCAAGGGUUCCUGUCCAACGUUAAUCGGGGCAGGGUGAGUCGACCCCUAAGGCGAGGCCGAAAGGCGUAGUCGAUGGGAAACAGGUUAAUAUUCCUGUACUUGGUGUUACUGCGAAGGGGGGACGGAGAAGGCUAUGUUAGCCGGGCGACGGUUGUCCCGGUUUAAGCAUGUAGGCUGGUUAUCCAGGCAAAUCCGGAUAACCAAGGCUGAGGUGUGAUGACGAGGCACUACGGUGCUGAAGUAACAAAUGCCCUGCUUCCAGGAAAAGCCUCUAAGCAUCAGGUAACAUCAAAUCGUACCCCAAACCGACACAGGUGGUCAGGUAGAGAAUACCAAGGCGCUUGAGAGAACUCGGGUGAAGGAACUAGGCAAAAUGGUGCCGUAACUUCGGGAGAAGGCACGCUGGUGUGUAGGUGAAGUCCCUGCGGAUGGAGCUGAGACCAGUCGAAGAUACCAGCUGGCUGCAACUGUUUAUUAAAAACACAGCACUGUGCAAACACGAAAGUGGACGUAUACGGUGUGACGCCUGCCCGGUGCCGGACGGAGAAAGGAGGGGGCGAAAAGUAAGGAGAAGCCCUUGAUCGAAGCCCCGGUAAACGGCGGCCGUAACUAUAACGGUCCUAAGGUAGCGAAAUUCCUUGUCGGGUAAGUUCCGACCUGCACGAAUGGCGUAAUGAUGGCCAGGCUGUCUCCACCCGAGAC
rnacentral:rRNA from 1 species